GAUUUUUUCGGAAUGAAGUUUUUUAUGACUGAGUGGCGGACGGGUGAGUAACGCGUGGGUAACCUGCCUCACACAGGGGGAUAGCAGUUGGAAACGACUGGUAAUACCGCAUAAGCGCACAGCUUCGCAUGAAGCGGUGUGAAAAACUCCGGUGGUCUGGGAUGGACCCGCGUCCGAUUAGUUAGUUGGCGGGGUAACGGCCCACCAAGACCGCGAUCGGUAGCCGACCUGAGAGGGUGACCGGCCACAUUGGGACUGAGACACGGCCCAGACUCCUACGGGAGGCAGCAGUGGGGAAUAUUGCACAAUGGAGGAAACUCUGAUGCAGCGACGCCGCGUGAGCGAAGAAGUAUUUCGGUAUGUAAAGCUCUGUCAGCAGGGAAGAUAAUGACGGUACCUGACCAAGAAGCCCCGGCUAACUACGUGCCAGCAGCCGCGGUAAUACGUAGGGGGCAAACGUUAUCCGGAUUUACUGGGUGUAAAGGGAGUGUAGGUGGCUGUGCAAGUCAGGAGUGAAAGCCCGGGGCUCAACCCCGGGACUGCUCUUGAAACUGCGCAGCUUGAGUGCAGGAGGGGCAGGCGGAAUUCCUAGUGUAGCGGUGAAAUGCGUAGAUAUUAGGAGGAACACCAGUGGCGAAGGCGGCCUGCUGGACUGUUACUGACACUGAGGCACGAAAGC
rnacentral:rRNA from 1 species